rnacentral:lncRNA from 10 species
AGAACAGAGGCGAGGGAGCCGUUGCUUUGUGCCAGGCGCCAUGCUGAGGACUUUCCAUAGACGGUUUAAUGCCACCCAACUACUCCCAUUUUAUAGAUGAGGAAAUGGAGGAAAUAAAGUCACUUGCCUGAGUUUGGGCAGCCAGGAAGGAGCAGAACCCACAGUUGAGCCCCAGCAGUUUGGCUUGGGAAACGCAUGUAGAGUGCUUCUUAAAGCAGAGAGCCUUUCUCAUGAUUAAACUGAAAUACUAGUCCCUUUAUAGCCUGUGCAUAGUGAGGACCAUUUUUCUUUAUUCACUGAGACCUACCUGCCUAUUGAGAAGUAUGUAACCGGUCAGCUUGGAGUUGCCCCACUGCAGGUUGGGUGAUGCAUUGAGGGACUUUUUAUUUUUACUCUGGUGGUGGGGGACGGGGAGGGAGGAAGAGACGGAGAGGGAAAAGAGGAGGGAGGAGAGAGGGCAAGAAGAAAAAGGAGGAGGGGAAACAGAGGAAGAGAGGGAGGAGGGAAAGAAGGAGAGGGAGAGAAAGGGAAGAGGUAGGGAGAUGAAAGAGCGGGGAGAGGCAGAAUGGGAGAGGGAGAGAAGGAGAGGGGAGACGGAGGGAGGAAGGGAGAGAAAGGAGAGGGGUGAGGGAAAAGGGGUAGGGAGGAGGGAGGAAGAGAAAAAUGGGGAGAGGGUGGGCGAGAAGGAAAGGAAGAAAUCGAGGAAGUUGGAGGAAUGAGGGAUGAGGCAGGGAGGGAGAAAGGGAGGGCGAAGCAGUAAGGUGCUGCAAAGGACCCUUCUUUUUGGCCAUAAAAACCUGAGAAACUGAUUGAGAUUCUUUUGAGCAAUAAGGCAACUGCGGUGAGGAAAAAAUAAGGAAGGAGGCACAAAAAGCAAAGCAGUUCAGCCUGAAAUUGACUACAGAGCUUCCCUUUGCUUCAGCAGAGCCUGGAGGAGCAGGAGGGAUGGGGGCCCUGUCAGCUGGCCCAAAGCCCUGCCCUGUCCCAGGGGUGCUAAGCUUGCUGCAGGCCAGGAAACAGGCCUGGGCUUGCAGCUGGGGAUCAGGAAGUUUGGGGCCUCUUUGCACAGCUUACUGGGGAUAGGCCAAGCUCUGGG